rnacentral:lncRNA from 1 species
ACUUAGUCAUAUAAGGCUGGACUUAAUCAUAUAAGAUAAGGCUGGACUUAAUCAUAAAAGAUAAGGCUGGACUUAAUCAUAUAAGAUAAGGCUGGACUUUAUCAUAUAAGGCUGGACUUUAUCAUAUAAGGCUGGACUUUAUCAUAUAAGGCUGGACUUUAUCAUAUAAGGCUGGACUUAGUCAUAUAAGGCUGCACUUGAUCAUAUAAGACAAGGCUGGACUUUAUCAUAUAAGAUAAGGCUGGACUUAAUCAUAUAAGAUAAGGCUGGACUUAAUCAUAUAAGAUAAGGCUGGACUUAAUCAUAUAAGGCUGCACUUGAUCAUAUAAGAUAAGGCUGGACUUAAUCAUAUAAGAUAAGGCUGGACUUUAUCAUAUAAGGCUGGACUUUAUCAUAUAAGGCUGCACUUGAUCAUAUAAGAUAAGGCUGGACUUAAUCAUAUAAGGCUGCACUUGAUCAUAUAAGAUAAGGCUGGACUUUAUCAUAUAAGAUAAGGCUGGACUUAAUCAUAUAAGAUAAGGCUGGACUUUAUCAUAUAAGAUAAGGCUGGACUUAAUCAUAUAAGAUAAGGCUGGACUUAAUCAUAUAAGAUAAGGCUGGACUUUAUCAUAUAAGGCUGCACUUGAUCAUAUAAGGCUGGACUUUAUCAUAUAAGGCUGGACUUUAUCAUAUAAGGAUGGACUCAGUCAUAUAAGGCAUGAGCUAGUUUCAUAGUUUUCAGUCAUAAAUUAGAAAUUCUAUGUACCACUGUAGAGAUAUAUUUCAAUCGGAAUGUUAUUACUAUAUAAUUCUUUUAGUACAGUUGUUCACAGAUAUUUCGCUUAUGUUUAUAUGUGGGACCUCCUUUACCUACUGGUUACGGUCAUUGACUUCAAAUAACUUUCUCCUCACCUCAGAGGGUUCUAGCUACUUCGUGGCCAAGUGGUCAAAGUCGCUGACUUCGAAUCACUUGCCUCUCUACGAUGUGGGUUCGAGCCUCGCUCGGGGCGUUGGAUUCUUCAUAUGAGGAAGCCAUCCAGCUGCCUCACGGAAGGUCGAUGGUUCUACUCAGGAGCCGGUCCAUUAUGAAAUAAUGCACGGAGGGGCACCUGGGGUCUUCCUCCACCAUCAGUGCUGGAAAGUAGUCAUAUGACCCCAACAAAAAGCUUGCUCCUCUCCUGACGUCAUGUAAGGAGGUCAUACAGCCGGCGUAUGACUGGCCAGUGGUUCUACCCAGGUGCCCUCUCCUGUCAGUAUUAUGCCUGGAGUGGUACCUGAGGGUAUUUUUUCUUCACAAUACAUAGCUUAAAACUUGCCGUAUGACCUGUCUCUUGUCAGUGUGGGCUUGUAAUGGUGUAAGUUACUCAUAUACAGCAUUGUUUCCUUGAACACGGGCAUUUCGGAAGUCUUUGUUAUACAUUGUAUUUUGUUAUUAUAUUAAAAUUAUUGAAAAUCA